ACUACAUGUACAGGAUAGGUGGGAGGCUUUGAAACCAGGACGCCAGUUUUGGCGGAGCCAUCCUUGGGAUACCACCCUUGUAGUACUGGGACUCUAACCAUAGGCCAUGAAUCUGGUCUUGGGACACUGUCAGGUGGGCAGUUUGACUGGGGCGGUCGCCUCCCAAAAGGUAACGGAGGCGCUCAAAGGUUCUCUCAGUACGGGCGGAAAUCGUACGUAGAGUGUAAAGGCAAAAGAGAGCUUGAUUGCAAGACAUACAGGUCGAGCAA
rnacentral:rRNA from 1 species